rnacentral:rRNA from 1 species
UUGCCCUAGUAACGGCGAGUGAAGCGGCAACAGCUCAAAUUUGAAAUCUGGCUCUUUUAGAGUCCGAGUUGUAAUUUGCAGAGGGCGCUUUGGCGUUGGCAGCGGUCCAAGUUCUUUGGAACAGGACGUCACAGAGGGUGAGAAUCCCGUACGUGGUCGCUAUCCUUCGCCGUGUAAAGCCCCUUCGACGAGUCGAGUUGUUUGGGAAUGCAGCUCUAAAUGGGAGGUAAAUUUCUUCUAAAGCUAAAUACUGGCCAGAGACCGAUAGCGCACAAGUAGAGUGAUCGAAAGAUGAAAAGCACUUUGGAAAGAGAGUCAAAUAGCACGUGAAAUUGUUGAAAGGGAAGCGCUUGCAGCCAGACUUGCCUGUAGUUGCUUAUCUGGACUUUUGUCCAGUGCACUCUUCUAUAGGCAGGCCAGCAUCAGUUUGGGCGGUUAGAUAAAGGUCUCUGUCAUGUACCUCUCUUCGGGGAGGCCUUAUAGGGGAGACGACAUGUAACCAGCCUGGACUGAGGUCCGCGCAUCUGCUAGGAUGCUGGCGUAAUGGCUGUAAGCGGCCCGUCUUGAAACACGGACCAAGGAGUCUAACAUUUAUGCGAGUGUUUGGGUGUCAAGCCCAGACGCGUAAUGAAAGUGAACGGAGGUAGGAACCCUUUGGGUGCACCAUCGACCGAUCCUGAUGUCUUCGGAAGGAUUUGAGUAAGAGCAUGGCUGUUGGGACCCGAAAGAUGGUGAACUAUGCUUGAAUAGGGUGAAGCCAGAGGAAACUCUGGUGGAGGCUCGCAGCGGUUCUGACGUGCAAAUCGAUCGUCAAAUUU